rnacentral:rRNA from 1 species
GACGAACCGUGCGAACGUUGUUCGGAUUCACUGGGCUUAAAGGGCGCGUAGGCGGUCGACCAAGUCUGGGGUGAAAUCUUUCGGCUCAACCGGAAAAGUGCCCCCGAUACUGGCCGGCUAGAGGGAGAUAGGGGCAUGCGGAACUUCCGGUGGAGCGGUGAAAUGCGUAGAUAUCGGAAGGAACGCCGGUGGCGAAAGCGGCGUGCUGGAUCUCUUCUGACGCUGAGGCGCGAAAGCCAGGGGAGCAAACGGGG